AUUGAACGCUGGCGGCAGGCCUAACACAUGCAAGUCGAGCGAGCGGCGGACGGGUGAGUAAUGUAUGGGGAACUGCCCGAUGGAGGGGGAUAACUACUGGAAACGGUGGCUAAUACCGCAUACUAUCAGAUGAGCCCAUAUGGGAUUAGCUAGUAGGUGGGGUAAAGGCUCACCUAGGCGACGAUCCCUAGCUGGUCUGAGAGGAUGACCAGCCACACUGGAACGGAGACACGGCCCAGACGCCUACGGGAGGCAGCAGUGGGGAAUAUUGCACAAUGGGCGCAAGCCGGAUGCAGCCAUGCCGCGUGUAUGAAGAAGGCCUUAGGGUUGUAAAGUACUUUCAGCGGGGAGGCGUUACCCGCAGAAGAAGCACCGGCUAACUCCGUGCCAGCAGCCGCGGUAAUAC
rnacentral:rRNA from 1 species